GUUUGGGUUGUUCAGAGACCACCAAAAUGUUCAUGGUCUCUGCAGUAUACCUCUUGAUUAUUUUUUUUUUUUUAUUUCAAGUCUCCCUAGUCUUUUUUAAAAAUCAAAUUAUGAGGCCUGGACAUGAAAAAUCUACUGAGACUGUUAUUUUUUACUACCAUCUGUGAGUUGUAUUUCUUUAAAAACUGCCUUCUCCUGCUUGUUUCAGGUAAUGAAUCAGGAUAUUAAAUUAAGUGCUACUUGAAGGAUUAAGAUACUGCUGAAACAUGUAAUAAAUUUAAGCAAUCACCAUGGUGAGAAUACUUCUCAAAUUUAGAGCUGAUCUUGUGUUCCUAUUAUCUUCACAGAUAAUUCCCAUAUUCCUCUAUUUAAGCAGAGCAAGCAGGAGCCUCUUCUCUAAAGAUACACUCAUGUAUGCAUGAAUGAAUGAAUGCUUCCAGGAGCCCAGAAACUCUUGCUUGUCAGCUUUCUGCAUUGGCACACAAGUGCUGAACAAAGUAUUUCAUCUUAAUUUAGGCAGUAGUCAGACGGCCUAUGUGACUUUUGAGAACUUUGAAAUUCAGGUUUGUAACAUACUAUUUUGGUAUAGAUGUACCUUUAACUAAAUGUGGGAGGCGACUGAGUGGGUCUGUUUAUACAUGGCUGACAUAAAGUGGAAAGAAUAGCUAACAAAACAGUCUAAUUUUCUGGAACCAUUUCCCUGGGGAAUAUAUUCUUGUCUUUUAUCUAUAAUAGUUCAAGUGUGUCAUUUUCUUCAGAUCAUCUCCCAAAGAACAUCUUAAAUUACAUGAUAACUGAGGACAGAGGUCAUGGAGGAUGCAGAACCUUGCAUCUGCUGCAGAAGUGUUGUGUUAUUCAUGCCCUGUUUCCUGCUGUCAGAAGAGCAAUCCCAUGAGACAAAUGUUCUCUACAGGACAGAACUGCAAAACAAUGGUGCACGACUGAUGCCUGUCCUGCUGCAGCUGUGGGCUCCACACCAACUUCAGGCAAGACUCUAUUUCACAGGUGCUGGGCAGAGUGAUGCAGCCACAUCCAAGUGAUCCUACAUGAAGCCAGUGGGGGUCUGGAUGGGCUUAUCCAGCCUGGUCUAGUGCAGCAUCUGUUGUGCCUGACCUGAGCUGGAUUGUGCAGAGCCACUGGUGCUCUAGUAUUACCUGGCCCAAAAAUACUGUGAAGAGAAAUUCAAUGAGUCUCUGAAGUGACCUGCAGGGAGCCAGUCCAGCAGGGCUUGAUGAUUGCAACAGUUUGGGGAUGGAAAGAACAGCACUGACACAAUGCUUCACCUGAUCUGGUGAAUCCAGCAGGACUGGAGCAGCUGAGCCUGCUUUGGUUUGCAAUGAGGGCUGCAGGCAAUGAAGCUGAUUUAUAAGACACUGUCAUCCACAGGUCAUUUAAGCUGUCAUCACAAUUGUUCUGACACUGAGGGUGCCAACACAACCUAAGUUUGGGGUCUUCUGAUUUUUCAUGGAGUAGAUGCUUGGCUUGGGAAAAAUAAAGCAAGCAACAGAUAAGCUUUGGGGCAGGGGCUAUUGUUCUUCCCUUUCCUUAACCAAAAAAACUCCAAACCAAACCAUGUCUCUCCAGAAAGCCAAGAUAAAACCUGCUAAGGCAAAAAGAUAUUAUGCUGAUAAAGCAGAGUGCUUGAAAGAAACGUGUAUUCAUUAUAUUUGGAACAGAUGGAGAUCAGCAGGAAAGUUUUAAUGGACUACAAAACCGGUAAAGUUUUUUGAAUUUGUGAUUAUACUGUCUUGUAAAACUCGUAAUUGCCUCAAAGUGUAGUGAGUGGGCCUAAAACACAUUCACAUUGGUAGUAAUGUGUACUGAAUUUAAUAGACCCUGAGUCAGAAUUAACUUGGAUAUGUUGAAUUUUAAUGUUAAACAAUGCUUCUCAUAAAACACUUCAAAUGCAGAAAGCUGGAGACUGAAGAAAAAAAAACAUAAAAACAAAGCAGGUUUCUGGUAGCUAUUAAUUUGUGAGACAGCACUUAGAGAAUACUUCCUUGUAGACUCACGACAAAAAUAAAGUGAAAAAAAUGGACUCAAAGUUGCAGGGCUGCAAUGUAAUGUGCACUGUGAUUCAUACCUAUUGUUGUGAAGGUGCUAGAAUUAAAUAAAGGAACUGAAUGUUCUCAUUGGAAUUCCCUUGAUAGAUUAAGAUGCAAAUGGCUGUAAGUAAAGGAUGGUAUCAGAAAAGAAAUGCAAUAAAGCAUCAAAUCUUUUCAACUAAGCCAUCAUUUCAUCUUGCAGAUAGUUAGGGACAGAAAAAGUGAAGUCAUACAUUAGUUAUUCUCCCUUUUUUCUAAAGGAGAUAUCAGCAGGUAGAAAAUCCAGAAUAGUUCUCAAUUCUUUUUGUUCCAUCUCUAGGUGGCAAUAAGAAAGCAUUUCUCUUAUGAAGGAUUUUUUUCUUCCUUAUGUGAUACUACCUGGCUUGGGACUUUUGGCACCAUUUGCAGAUUUUCAUGAAAAGGCUUGUAAGAAAAAUUAGCAAUUUCUCCUCUUGUCUUAAAAAAGGCAGCAACUGGUGAUAGCUGUGCUCAGAGAAGCUGAAGAAGGAUGUAGGCUUAAGCUGCUAAAUGGUGCAGUGUGAGAUGUCUCUGACCACCUGUCCACCAGUAAGCAGUACGUGAAUUUUCCUUUUGGGAAACUGGACCAUUAGCUUUUGGGAGAUACUUUGCUCAUUCUUUUAGUUUGUGUGGCCUCUGCCAGGGCUCUUGAGUGUUUUUUCGGUGGCUGUCUGAAGCUGAUGUUCCUGGCCAUGUUCUAGGUUGGGAAAGUUGGGAAGUGGGAAAGUGCAAGCAUAUACUGGCCCCCUUUCUGUUCCCUGUUGGCCUUUAAUCGAGGAAUCAUCAAAAACAUUCUGAUAUGUCCAGAUGACUGCACAUCUUAAAAAAAAAAAAAGGGAAGCUGCCCAUAGAGAGGAUGAUAACUUAGUAUAACUUAGCCUUAGUAUAAUCAUUCCUACAUGAACAUCCAAGGUGUAUUUUGUUGACUUUUUGGUUUUUAUAAAGAUGAAAAUACACUAAACUGUUCAAGAGACCUUCCAUGAACUUGAUGAUAUUAAUGUGUGACCACUUCCUAGGGAAACCCGUUCCAGUGCCCAACCACCGUCUGGGUAAAGAACCUCCUCUGACUAUUUCAUGCCUUUGUUUUAAUUAAUAUAAUAGCAUGUAAAUAAUGUAUUUAUGCAGAUCAGAUUGUUGAGAGACUUUGGUUUAGCAAUUCACUUUCUUGUUGUCCCACAGAAUCAUAGAAUCAUUCAGGUUGAAAAAGACCUUUGAGAUUAUUGAGUCCAAGCAUGAAUAAAGCACCACUGUGUUCACCACUAAACCUUAACCCCAAGUGCUACAUCGACAUCCAGAAGUGUUAUUGGCUUACAAAGCCAAUAUUUAUUUUGCUAAUUCUGUGCAUCUUGCUAUAAAGUGAAACAAAUAACUGCUCUGUAUAAAAAGUAAAAAAUAAUAUUCUCAUUUAGAAUAUGUGUAAAACAAUUUUCAAAUUUCUUAGAAUAGCAGAUAACUGCAUUUUCAUAGGAUAUUGUAUAAAUGGAUAGAAAAAAACAGGCCCUUGGAGACCAGCUAAUCUGGAAAAAGAACAGAACAGAACUGCUCAAUGAUCAGUAGUAGGAGGAAUUAUGUAAGGUUUCUAAAGUGAAAAUGAAUGCCUCUUCUAGAAAAAAAAUCCUUUCGCUAUAAUAUAUAAAGAUAGCUGGCAAAUUCUAUUAUAAGGAAAAGGUAUUUAGGUACGAGGGACCUGAAAACAUUUGAGUGGUUCCUCUCAUCAAGAGUUCUUGAAUUUGCAUUGGGUAUUAUACCAAAAAGCCUUGCAACAUGGGUAGAAUGACUUAACACCACAGUUACUCUAAGUAAAUAUAAAGUUCUGCUUUUUAAAACAGGAAAUUCUAUAGCUUUUAAACAUCCCUGGCCUCCAGCAGUGUUUUCUUCGUAUUGCUUUUGUCAUUACUACCAAGGAUAGCAUCUCCUCUAGAAAUCUUACAGCUUAGACUGCCUCUAUCUUAGUUUCCAUUUUAGCUCCUCUAAGAGUUUAGAUCAAGCUAGGAACUUAUAUAUGCAUUAUAUAACAAGCAAAACUAUUAAUGUUGACUUUUUUCUUUAUGCGUUGGUUCUAUGUGUGCAAUUCAAGUAGCAGUAUCAGGAUUCUUUCCCCCCGAGAAGAGUGAAGAUCUGCUGAACAGGAUGUAGAGAGAGCUGAGCUUUGUGGAGCUCACUGGGGACCCUGUGUGGUGUGUGUAUGCCCCAAGAUGCAUAUGAAGAGCAGUGACCCAGAAUCAUGUUUCUUCCCUCUUGCCUUUGAGGGAAAAAAUAAAAACAAACACCUUGACACACCUGUUAGGUCAAUUUUAUCUCCUGCAGGGAUUCAGCCUGCAGUAUGUGAGAUAAAGUGUGAGCUAAAGCAUUUGAAGAAACACAUUUCAAUGAACUUUGAACAGUCUCUUGAAAUCAAAAUUUACUAAGUGGAUUAGAUAUAAAAGGAGCGACAUAAAGUGCAGCCCAUUGAAGAGUAAAGGAUCCUCUCUUUUCCACAAGUUUCAUCAUGAUAGCUUCAAGAAUAUAUUAAUAUGAGCCAUCAGGAGUGCUGCUAGGAUCCCAAGAUGAAGCUGUCAAGUAACAUCUGCCUAAAAGGGACUUGCUUCAUUACUUUCAAACCUUUCCAUUUCUCAUUAGGUCUCACCAGAUGGGGAUUCAGUAUUUUUGAAGUCAGUCACCCUGUAUGAAGUAGUUUGUUCAUGACACUGAUGAACAAUUAUCUACCUGUACAGCUGGGACUUCUAGGCUGUUUAUUUCAACUGAGUGUCAGUACAGGGCACAACUUGAGCAUCUGAUGAUAAAAAAAUUGAAAUGCAGAGGGUGAGUUUGAUUGAAUAGGUGCAUGAAUGAGUUUGAAACUUUUAUAUAAUAAUUCUGUCAUUAAUUUCCCUGUAAUAUAAUCCAUUGUAAUAAUGCCAUGUAAGAAUUUGCUACAUGAUUUUAUUUAUUUUAAUCUUCAAGUAGAGAAAAAUAAUAAUUAUAAGUUCAAAAAUGUUGUUCCAAUUCAUCCGGUAGAAGAUAACUACUGUGCAUAAUAACUGUUGCAUUUCUGUUGGUUGAUAAAUGUUUAAUGGUUUGUUAGGAAACUAAUUGUCAGUUUAAAUCAGGAGAGUGACAAUAAUAACUCACUUAGAUACUCACAUUGUGACCUGCAAAGGCAGCUAUAAAUGUAAUUCAUUCUAAUUUUUGUUUAUAGUUGAUGGGUACAAAUAUAUGACAAAGCCCCUUGAAAAAGAAUUCCAAUCUCUAUUGUAAUGUUUCUUUUGUAUUUUCUGUUCUUCACAACUUUUGUUAUAAAUAGAAUAAACCAAAACAUUGUUGCAUGUACCAUGUGAAUAACCUACCGAUGAGGUUUGUUCUGGAUGACUCUAUGCAGUAUCAGAAUUUAAAAGUGAUUAAAAACCUUGAAUAAUAA